UUGGAGGGCAAGUCUGGUGCCAGCAGCCGCGGUAAUUCCAGCUCCAAUAGCGUAUAUUAAAGUUGUUGCAGUUAAAAAGCUCGUAGUUGAAUUUCGGGAUCAAAUUGUCGGUCGUGCCUCGGUACGCACUGGUAUUAUUGGUUCCUACCUUCUGAAGAACCGCGAUGUCAUUAAUUUGGUGUCGUGGGGAAUCAGGACUGUUACUUUGAAAAAGUUAGAGUGUUUAAAGCAGGCUUACGCUUGAAUACAUUAGCAUGGAAUAAUGAAAUAGGACGUUUGAUUCUAUUUUGUUGGUUUCUAGGAUUGACGUAAUGAUUAAUAGGGAUAGUUGGGGGCAUUAGUAUUCAAUUGUCAGAGGUGAAAUUCUUGGAUUUAUUGAAGACUAACUACUGCGAAAGCAUUUGCCAAGGAUGUUUUCAUUAAUCAAGAACGAAAGUUAGGGGAUCGAAGACGAUCAGAUACCGUCGUAGUCUUAACCAUAAACUAUGCCGACUAGGGAUCGGAUGAUGUUAAUUUUUUAAUGACUCAUUCGGCGCCUUAA
rnacentral:rRNA from 1 species